GGGGAAUUUUCCGCAAUGGGCGAAAGCCUGACGGAGCAAUACCGCGUGAGGGAUGACGGCCUAUGGGUUGUAAACCUCUUUUUUCAGGGAGGAAUCAAUGACGUGUACCUGAAGAAUAAGGAUCGGCUAACUCCGUGCCAGCAGCCGCGGUAAGACGGAGGAUGCAAGUGUUAUCCGGAAUCACUGGGCGUAAAGCGUCUGUAGGUGGUCCAAUAAGUCAACUGUUAAAUCUUGAGGCUCAACCUCAAAAUCGCAGUCGAAACUAUUAGACUCGAGCAUAGUAGGGGUAAAGGGAAUUUCCAGUGGAGCGGUGAAAUGCGUAGAGAUUGGAAAGAACACCGAUGGCGAAGGCACUUUACUGGGCUAUUACUAACACUGAGAGACGAAAGCUAGGGUAGCAAAUGGGAUUAGAUACCCCAGUAGUC
rnacentral:rRNA from 1 species